AACAAGUACUCCUUAUUACAGAUUUAUUAUCCUUAUGACAUCUGUCCGCAGAACAGGGGAAUAGGUCAAGAUAUGUCUUCCCAUCAACGUUUCUGUACACAUGUGCAAGUUUUCUGUUCAAGAAAAUAAUCAUCUUGCCUCUUGGCUUUCAGCAAUAUCUUCUGCCCUGGAUAUUUGCUCCCCUCCCCAGCUGGAAGAAUAUCCCACUGCUCAGUGACAAUUUGUACGUGUACAAAUCAUUGACCAAAUACCAAGUCAGGUGUACUUGGCCACUCUUUAAGAAACAAAAUGCCUGGGACUGUCAGAUAAGAAGUCCACAUGGCAGCUUUCCAAUUGUAUUUAUCCACUCCAACUAAUUGAGUCACAUAAAUAUCUCUUGGCACUGGACAUGCUCCUCUCAAUUAUACCAAGACCAAAUGACAGUGCACCACACACGAAAAAAAAAAAAUUUUGAAGAUUUUUGAAACAAUUAUUAACCGGAAGGUGAGGAGAAGAACUGAUAUUGAUUCAGAUAAUCACAUAAAUGUUGAAGAUAUUUUUGGGAAAAGAAAAGAAAAAAGAAAAGAAAAGAAAAGAAAA
rnacentral:lncRNA from 1 species